CCCCUAGAUGUUCUGGGCCGCACGCGCGCUACACUGAACAGUUCAACAAGUCUUAACCUUGGCCGAUAGGUCUGGGUAAUCUUUGAACGCUGUUCGUGAUUGGGAUAGACCUUUGCAAUUAUGGGUCUUCAACGAGGAAUGCCUAGUAAGCGCAAGUCAUCAGCUUGCGUUGAUUACGUCCCUGCCCUUUGUACACACCGCCCGUCGCUCCUACCGAUUGAAUGGUCCGGUGAAGCGCUCGGACCGCGGCCUCUUGACGGUUUUCCGUCGAUUGGCUGUGGGAAGUUCGUUAAACCUUAUCAUUUAGAGGAAGGAGAAGUCGUANCA
rnacentral:rRNA from 1 species